rnacentral:rRNA from 1 species
UAGGGAAUCUUCCGCAAUGGGCGAAAGCCUGACGGAGCAACGCCGCGUGAGUGAUGAAGGUCUUCGGAUCGUAAAACUCUGUUAUUAGGGAAGAACAAAUGUGUAAGUAACUAUGCACGUCUUGACGGUACCUAAUCAGAAAGCCACGGCUAACUACGUGCCAGCAGCCGCGGUAAUACGUAGGUGGCAAGCGUUAUCCGGAAUUAUUGGGCGUAAAGCGCGCGUAGGCGGUUUUUUAAGUCUGAUGUGAAAGCCCACGGCUCAACCGUGGAGGGUCAUUGGAAACUGGAAAACUUGAGUGCAGAAGAGGAAAGUGGAAUUCCAUGUAUAGCGGUGAAAUGCGCAGAGAUAUGGAGGAACACCAGUGGCGAAGGCGACUUUCUGGUCUGUAACUGACGCUUAUGUGCGAAAGCGUGGGGAUCAAACAGG